AACGUAGGGGGCAAGCGUUGCCCGGAUUCACUGGGCGUAAAGCGGGUGUAGGCGGUCCUUUAAGUCAGGUGUGAAAUCCUGCGGCUCAACCGCGGAACUGCAUCUGAUACUGGGGGACUUGAGGACGGUAGAGGUCGGUGGAAUCCCCUGUGUACCGGUGAAAUGGGCAGAUAUAGGGGGGAACACCAGUGGCGAAGGCGGCCGACUGGGCCGAUCCUGACGCUGAGACCCGAAAGCCAGGGUAGAGCGAACCGG
rnacentral:rRNA from 1 species